AUUGAACGCUGGCGGCAGGCCUAACACAUGCAAGUCGAGCGGCAGCGGGAAAGUAGCUUGCUACUUUUGCCGGCGAGCGGCGGACGGGUGAGUAAUGCCUGGGAAAUUGCCCAGUCGAGGGGGAUAACAGUUGGAAACGACUGCUAAUACCGCAUACGCCCUACGGGGGAAAGCAGGGGACCUUCGGGCCUUGCGCGAUUGGAUAUGCCCAGGUGGGAUUAGCUAGUUGGUGAGGUAAUGGCUCACCAAGGCGACGAUCCCUAGCUGGUCUGAGAGGAUGGUCAGCCAAACUGGAACUGAGACACGGUCCAGACUACUACGGGAGGCAGCAGUGGGGAAUAUUGCACAAUGGGGGAAACCCUGAUGCAGCCAUGCCGCGUGUGUGAAGAAGGCCUUCGGGUUGUAAAGCACUUUCAGCGAGGAGGAAAGGUUGAUGCCUAAUACGUAUCAACUGUGACGUUACUCGCAGAAGAAGCACCGGCUAACUCCGUGCCAGCCGCCGCAGUAAAAC
rnacentral:rRNA from 1 species